UCAUGGAGGCACUGGCGGAGGCGGCUUGGCGCGGGUGUCCCCCGGGGAGGUCCCGGUCCUCGCAGCCCGCGGUCGCGUCCUUGGCCCUCCUCCAGGGGAACCUCGAUUUUCCAAUCUCAGGAAGGCCGGCUGUCCUUCGGCUACUGAUAAGGACGCGAGCUCAUGGUAAAGAUUUUAACAAUGCCCGGAAAGAAAUAGCCGGACCCAAGAAAGAGACUAAUAAUAGCAGCCCGCUAGAGUUCUGCUCUUGUGCUCAGCGCUCUUAAGAACAAUAAUAACGACAACAACCAUAAGAGCCACCAUUUAUUGAGCGCUUACUCUGUGCCAGGCACUGUGUUAAGCGCUUUGCAGGCAACAACCCUCGGAGUAGGCUCCAUGCGAAUGUGGGGCUUGAACUCACAACCUUGAUAUCAAGAGGCACAUGCUCUAUGGACUGAGCCAGCCGGGCACCCCAGGAGCACCUAAUUAUAAAGCCAUGUUCCCAUCAACCGAUACACCUGAACAUAAGAGUGUCCUCGUCUGCACUGUGGGGAAAACACAGUCCCCUUUUCCAGGGUUGUGGCGCCAAUGAAAUAACACCCAGGGCAGUGCCCGGCGCAGGACCACAGGUCAGUAACUGGGAGCAACACUCAUCAUCGUUCAUAAAGGCCUGGGCGGCACUAGAAGAUUCGGUGACCCAUCCGUGAGGAUCUUUGCAGAGCAGGAGCAGAAGAAAUGAGGUCUCGCCCAGUGUGGGGCAGUAAAGUCAGGCAGCAGCAGGAUUUGGGCAGUGCAUCAAGGGGCCACCUGCUGUUCUCCCGCCCAGAGGACUGGCACCUAUUUCUCCAGCACCUCCGACUCAUCACAAUUCUUCCUCCGGCUGGUCCUGAGACAUGAUGGCUGACAAGGUCUUGAGCAAGGGCAUACUCAAUGCUUAAGAAGGGGAUGGAAGUUUGGGGCCUCCCCUGCAUUCCAGCGUGAAGACCAGAUCCUUAAACAGGGCUGGGGGCGGGAGAGGCGAAGGGCCACACAAGCAUGAGAUGCUGCCCUUGGGUGUUUGGUGGAUGCCAGGCUCUGUGCAAGACACAUGGACGCUAACUGUGCACGAUGGGGCUUACUCCUCGGCCAUUAGGAGAGGUUUGUGUCUGUUAUCGUCAUCAAAAAAACAUUCCCAUUUGAUAAAGGCCUCAGAGAGUUGAGAAAACUGCCUAAAGUCUCACAGCCAAAAUGUGGCAGAGCCAGAAUUUCGACCAACUUUAUCUGAUAAAAGCCUCCAGCCUCCCCCAGGAUGCUUUAAUGUGUGUCUUACGGCUUAUGGCUCUGGCAUCAAGAGGGCACUGGUCCUGGCAUUUAUUUGAGUCAAGGAAAGGGAUUGCUUGCAGAGCCCAUCCCUGACCCAGGCCUCCAGGCCUGUCCCACACAGUGGAGACAAGGGGCGAGCCUGAAAAGGAGGCUGCCUCUGUUGAGGAACUGAUGUCCAGAGGUAAGCAGCCCAGGCUGGUAGAGCAGCCCUGUGACGUCAGGGACCUGGGCCCCUUCCACCUGGGGCUCUCCAUCCUCAGUGCACGGCCCAGUGGCCCAAGGCAGCCCUUGCAGGAAGAAGCAGGAGAAAAGAGGGCUCAUUCCCCUCCCAGGAUGCUUCAGGGAACUCACAUGCAUCACACCUACUCGUAUGCCACUAGCCGGAGCUAAACCCCACAGAACCCCAGGAAAUAGUAGGGGUGAUUUAUCUAAGUAAGACUCUUAUUGCUAUAGAUAAAGGGGAGAACAGAUAUUGGAGGUGGAGAUCUGCCACCUUUUACAAACAUCUUUCCAAUGCAUGUAGAUUUGUAUCCCAUUUUUUUCUCUUAUUUUUUGGCGAGUGUUUGACCACAUCAUUAAAUAUUUGUCAAAAUUCUUAAUUUUUAA